rnacentral:rRNA from 20 species
UCUGGUGGCGAUGGCGAGAAGGUCACACCCGUUCCCAUACCGAACACGGAAGUUAAGCUUCUCAGCGCCGAUGGUAGUUGGGGGUUUCCCCCUGUGAGAGUAGGACGCCGCCGGGC